rnacentral:rRNA from 1 species
AAUCAACGCUGGCGGCGUGCCUCAGACAUGCAAGUCGAACGAGAAAGUUCCCUUCGGGGAAUGAGUAAAGUGGCGCACGGGUGAGUAACACGUAGGUAAUCUACCUUCGGGUGGGGAAUAACCCAGGGAAACUUGGGCUAACACCGCAUAAUGCAGCGGCACCACAUGGUGACAGUUGUUAAAGCGGGGGAUUUUAGGACCUCGCGCCUGAAGAGGAGCCUGCGGCGGAUUAGCNGUUGGUAAGGCAACGGCUUACCAAGGCGACGAUCCGUAGCCGGCCCUGAGAGGGCGGUCGGCCACACUGACACUGACAUACGGGUCAGACUCCUACGGGAGGCAGCAGUCGGGAAUUUUGGGCAAUGGGCGAAAGCCUGACCCAGCAACGCCGCGUGAAGAUGAAAUCCCUCGGGAUGUAAACUUCGCAAGAAUGGGAAGAAUUAGGUAGGGCUAACUACCCCUAUGAUGACGGUACCAUUUGUAAGCUCCGGCUAACUCCGU